CACCAACUUCAUUCCAAUGCCCGGGAUCACUCGAGAACUGCAGUCACUAUCUUGUUCAGCUCCCAGGAUCAAGCGAACCUGCUGUAGGGCCCAUUGCGGUGAUUUCGUUGGCUUCUGUUAGAAGUGUGGGUUUUCUAGUAAUUCAAGGCAGGCAUCCAUAUACAGGAGCAGUGCGCUUGUCUUGUGCCUUUCCCCUUGCCGCACAACAUCCAUGCUGCUCCCGUAUGUGCACAGAUGAGUUCGUCCCAUGUUCCUGACCUCUCGCGGUGGAGACUGGGAGUCAGUGUUUGCGUCGAUUAGAGCCGAGCUUUUCAGUUCUCACGUGCACAACGCUGCUGGAGUCUUCUUCUCAUGUGUUGGAGCUGUUUCUAGUAAAAAGCACCACAUAAUCUGCCGAUGGAACUCCUCAUGUGCUCUUCGACUGUCUUGAGUGCUCAAGUUUGUGCUUUUUUAAAGGAUCUGUGCUAGUACUGUUGGAUGGACAUCGACUUUGCCGGUAAGUGCACCCGACAUACCACGUUUGACAGGCGUAAGUGGGUGACAACGAGAGAGAGCACGCCGGAAUGCGUUCAUGCAGCGAGUGCCUGGAGGUGUUCGAGCGUGCCCUCUCCCGUCGUCACCAAUCUUUUUCUCUGACUCUGGUUUGUGUAACAUUGUUCGUUAUACGAUUCCCUUCUGGGUGGUAGCAGAAAAACUUGGAUGGAAUUUGGGACCAAUAUAUUAAUUUGUUCGAUGCGUCUGUGUACUUUGGUAUGCUAGAUGAUUGGCUUCUGAAACCAACUAACAUGAUUUGUACAUUUCUUAAGCAAACUCACAUGCGAAGCGUUUACGAAUCCUAUUCGUCAGCGGAGAACCGCAAUCAUCUAUCCUAAUUCCUUUAGAAUUUUUGAGACUGAUCUGCAAAAUGUUGUCCCAUAGGUCGAAAUAGUCUUUCGAGCCUCGCAGGCAAGUAAUCCAGCAUGUACAGGUGGAGCUAACAGUGGACUUGUGGAAUCGUUACUCGUAUGUUCAAAGAAGUUGUGGUUGAGCUUGUCCAAAAGCCGAUGCUUCAGGCAUACUAGUCAUUGAGGAGAAAUAAUCCUUUCGACCCAGCACUAGAUCGUUUGAGUCAAAAGCGAGUCUCUGUAGUUUUUUUAAUUAAGUUUAUUACUACUGGGGCUGAUGUAGGCAAUGGUAACAAUCAGUGAUGUGCAACAUCGGUAACCAACGGCAAUAGAAGGAUAUGUGGGUAAAGAUCACUAGUUGCAGACGUAGAUUAAAGACGCAGCAAAGAACAUGAUCUCGAUUCGUCAUCAAUUAUGUUACUUUCAGAUGUCUGAUCGUUCACCUUGAAAGAGCCGAAUUUGACAUAAUAAGCGAAACUCGCAGAUAUUUGGUUUUUUCAUUGUAACUAAGUGCAGUGCUCAAUAGGUGCACACAUCUAUUUCUGAAAUCAAAUUCACUUUCAAUACAAAUCUCCACAUUUAAUACACCAGUGUUUAAUAAUCAAGUGUGUGUGAAGCAAAUUUAUAAUGCAUGAUCCAUCCAUGCAUCAACAUUUCUUGCUUAGAUUGAAAGAAAAACCAUACUCGUACACUAAUGCAGGAUUAGCAACGUGAGCUGAGAGCAUUGUGCAUUCGGAAAGGAAGUUAUGAGCUCCUUCAGUAAGACUUUCGAAACCGACGACCGUCAAGAACCUGAAAGCAUCGUCUGUAGAAAAGAAUUCUUUCGGGACCAAAACCGAUAAACUAGUAUUAUUCCUCUUAUGGUUGUGAUUACAAAUCGUUCAUAAGCGAUAGAGUUGCUACUGUAAAGAAGUUUUUUCGACUUCUCAGCAAUGUUAACAUAUAUAUUCCCUGACUGCCUGCAAACAACCACAUAUUCAAUGCAAAUGAAAUGCAGCGCAGUGUACGAAAUUCUGACAGCUCAGUAAUAAAUAAACCAGGGGCUCAUGAUUGUAACCUGUAAAUCUGCGCUUGGCUAGACAAGCCCAAGUCAUGGGACCCACAGGCUUGUACCACAAUGUCAAUAGUACACUACUGGGACUGUCUGGUAGCGUUCACGCAAGUAGUCAAGCAGCAUGCCAAUUGGUGCACUUACCCAGAAGGAGCAAAGGCACGAAGCUAGAUUCACUAUAUAUUUCGUGAGGGCCAGGACAAUCGCGGUACUAUAUGGAGUGUCGAGCCCACGCAGUGGCAGUGAACUGGGAAGCUCAAUUAAUGCAGCCUGCACUUCAAGUUUACCUGCUGCUCUCUCCAGAGUCAUGUGUUGCGUGUUUGGUUUACCCAUGUUUUCUAAAAUCCUAGCAGGAGACUCUUGCAGAUGAGGGAGUCUGCUCCUCCAAAAUCUCCGAUGUUUAAAAGAGGUGUGUCGGAUGUUCAAGCGGCCCACGCAGAAGUCUGAGCACACACGUCAUCUCUGAUUUGCGAAGCCGAGACCAUAAAUUCGACAAUGUUGCAAAAUCAACAGCAGCACGUUAACUUAUAGCAUGUCAUGAAUCUACUUACGAGUAUACAUAUCACUGCAACCGACGGCAAAAGCUCUGAAUAAAAGCUCCCAUUAAAAUUAGAUUUUACGUGUUGGUUUGUAACUAGAAUUGCAGGUAUACAGCUAAGAUUCUGCAUAUCAACAGCUACCUUUAGAGUUGCUAUAUUGGUUUACGAUUUUACACACAAAGAAUCAGCUAGACUUGAAUUGCUGUAUCAACUAAGUUAAUGAAGUUGACCUCGAGCUUCAGAAUGCUCCUGAGCUUGGGUGUUGCGUCUGCU